CGGUAGAGGCGCGAAACAUAAGAGUAGCUGUUAUUGGGGCGAUACCAAUGAAUAAGAGUGAAAGGGUGUUUCGCCGAAGCGAUCGAGUGCUAUCAACACCUUUCGCUGGGGUUGUACUCAAUAGGUACAACACUGCCAUAGUCUAUAAUUUUUAAACUAUGGAGCGCUACUGU
rnacentral:ncRNA from 1 species